ACGACCGUACCGCAACCGACACUGGUGCGCGAGAUGAGUAUUCUAAGGCGCUUGAGAGAACUCAGGAGAAGGAACUCGGCAAAUUGACACCGUAACUUCGGAAGAAGGUGUGCCUUUAGUAGGUGAAGGGAUUUACUCCUGGAGCCCAAUGAGGUUGCAAAAAAUCGGUGGCUGCGACUGUUUAAUAAAAACACAGCACUCUGCAAACACGAAAGUGGACGUAUAGGGUGUGACGCCUGCCCGGUGCUGGAAGAUUAAAUGAUGGGGUGCAAGCUCUUGAUUGAAGUCCCAGUAAACGGCGGCCGUAACAAUAACGGUCCUAAGGUAGCGAAAUUCCUUGUCGGGUAAGUUCCGACCUGCACGAAUGGCGUAACGAUGGCCACACUGUCUCCUCCUGAGACUCAGCGAAGUUGAAAUGUUUGUGAUGAUGCAAUCUCCCCGCGGAAAGACGGAAAGACCCCAUGAACCUUUACUGUAGCUUUGUAUUGGACUUUGAACAGAUCUGUGUAGGAUAGGUGGGAGGCUUUGAAGUAGGGUCGCUAGAUCUUAUGGAGCCAACGUUGAAAUACCACCCUGGUGUGUUUGAGGUUCUAACCUAGGCCCGUUAUCCGGGCUGGGGACAGUGCAUGGUAGGCAGUUUGACUGGGGCGGUCUCCUCCCAAAGCGUAACGGAGGAGUUCGAAGGUACGCUAGUUACGGUCGGACAUCGUGACGAUAGUGCAAUGGCAUAAGCGUGCUUAACUGCGAGACUGACAAGUCGAGCAGAUGCGAAAGCAGGACAUAGUGAUCCGGUGGUUCUGUAUGGAAGGGCCAUCGCUCAACGGAUAAAAGGUACUCUGGGGAUAACAGGCUGAUACCGCCCAAGAGUUCAUAUCGACGGCGGUGUUUGGCACCUCGAUGUCGGCUCAUCUCAUCCUGGGGCUGUAGCCGGUCCCAAGGGUAUGGCUGUUCGCCAUUUAAAGAGGUACGUGAGCUGGGUUUAAAACGUCGUGAGACAGUUUGGUCCCUAUCUUCCGUGGGCGCUGCAGAUUUGAGGAAGCCUGCUCCUAGUACGAGAGGACCGGAGUGGACACACCUCUGGUGUAUCGGUUGUCACGCCAGUGGCAUUGCCGAGUAGCUAAGUGUGGAAGAGAUAACCGCUGAAAGCAUCUAAGCGGGAAACUCGUUUCAAGAUGAGAUCUGCCGGGGCCUUGAGCCCCCUAAAGAGUCGCUCAAGACCAGGACGUUGAUAGGUCAGGUGUGGAAGCGCAGUAAUGCGUUAAGCUAACUGAUACUAAUUGCUCGUGCGGCUUGACC
rnacentral:rRNA from 1 species